UAGUUCGACCCAUCCCAGAGGAUGACGGUCUUACAUCCCCUUCCCCAUGAUGGUUGGCUAGCGAGCGUGACUGAUGAAGACGCGUUCCCCGCCGCUUUUCUGGCAACUAGUUGAUGUUAUGAUGCAUCGUUGGUCCGGCGUACGACGGCGCCUGGUGCGAUUUAUGCGUCCGGAAGCCCUUUCAGCCUCCCAGGCAUGUCCCACCUGCCUCACAGCCACCGACGCACCUCACGGCGGGGUUCUAAUUGCGUGCGCGUAUGGAUGCUCCUUACCCCGCCGCCUUUCUAGCAACUAGUUGAUGUUAUGAUGCAUCGGUGGUCCGGCGUAAGACGGCGCCUGGUGCGAUUUAUGCGUCCGGAAGCCCUUUCAGCCUCCCAGGCAUGUCCCACCUGCCUCACAGCCACCGACGCAUCUCACGGCGGGGUUCUAAUUGCGUGCGCGUAUGGAUGCUCCUCACCCCGCCGCCUUUCUAGCAACUAGUUGAUGUUAUGAUGCAUCGGUGGUCCGGCGUACGACGGCGCCUGGUGCGAUUUAUGCGUCCGGAAGCCCUUUCAGCCUCCCAGGCAUGUCCCACCUGCCUCACAGCCACCGACGCAUCUCACGGCGGGGGUCUAAUUGCGUGCGCGUAUGGAUGCUUCUUUCCCCGCCGCCUUUCUAACAACUAGAAAUGUUAUGAUGCAUCGUUGGUCCGGCGUACGACGGCGCCUGGUGCGAUUUAUGCGUCCGGAAGCCCUUUCAGCCUCCAGGCAUGUCCCCACCUGCCUCACAGCCACCGACGCAUCUCACGGCGGGGGUCUAAUUGCGUGCGCGUAUGGAUGCUCCUAAUCCCGCCGCCUUUCUAGCAACUAGUUGAUGUUAUGAUGCAUCGUUGGUCCGGCGUACGACGGCGCCUGGUGCGAUUUAUGCGUCCGGAAGCCCUUUCAGCCUCCAGGCAUGUCCCCACCUGCCUCACAGCCACCGACGCAUCUCACGGCGGGGGUCUAAUUGCGUGCGCGUAUGGAUGCUUCUUACCCCGCCGCCUUUCUAACAACUAGAAAUGUUAUGAUGCAUCGUUGGUCCGGCGUACGACGGCGCCUGGUGCGAUUUAUGCGUCCGGAAGCCCUUUCAGCCUCCCAGGCAUGUCCCCACCUGCCUCACAGCCACCGACGCAUCUCACGGCGGGGGUCUAAUUGCGUGCGCGUAUGGAUGCUUCUUUCCCCGCCGCCUUUCUAGCAACUAGAAAUGUUAUGAUGCAUCGUUGGUCCGGCGUACGACGGCGCCUGGUGCGAUUUAUGCGUCCGGAAGCCCUUUCAGCCUCCCAGGCAUGUCCCACCUGCCUCACAGCCACCGACGCAUCUCACGGCGGGGGUCUAAUUGCGUGCGCGUAUGGAUGCUCCUAUUCCUGCCGCCUUUCUAGCAACUAGUUGAUGUUAUGAUGCAUCGUUGGUCCGGCGUACGACGGCGCCUGGUGCGAUUUAUGCGUCCGGAAGCCCUUUCAGCCUCCCAGGCAUGUCCCCACCUGCCUCACAGCCGCCGACGCAUCUCACGGCGGGGGUCUAAUUGCGUGCGCGUAUGGAUGCUCCUUAUUCCUGCCGCCUUUCUAGCAGCUAGUUACUGUUAUGAUGCAUCGGU
rnacentral:lncRNA from 1 species